GAUGAACGCUAGCGGCAGGCCUAACACAUGCAAGUCGAGGGGCAGCACAGAAAUUCAGCAAUGAGUUUUGGUGGCGACCGGCAGACGGGUGCGUAACGCGUGUGCAACCUACCCUUAACAGGGGAAUAACGGCGGGAAACUUCCACUAAUACCCCAUAACAUCCCAAGAGGCAUCCCUUGGCGUUGAAAGCUCCGGCGGUUAAGGAUGCGCACGCGUUGUAUGCGAUUGUUGGUGAGGUAACGGCUCACCAAGUCUACGAUACAGAGGGGGACUGAGAGGUUAACCCCCCACACUGGUACUGAGACACGGACCAGACUCCUACGGGAGGCAGCAGUGAGGAAUAUUGGUCAAUGGACGCAAGUCUGAACCAGCCAUGCCGCGUGCAGGAAGACGGCUCUAUGAGUUGUAAACUGCUUUUGCAAGAGGAUAAUUGCGGGUACGUGUACCCGCUUGAAGGUACCUUGCGAAUAAGGAUCGGCUAACUCCGUGCCAGCCGCCGCCGUAA
rnacentral:rRNA from 1 species